GAUGAACGCUGCGGCAUGCUUAACACAUGCAAGUCGAACGGUGAAGCAGGAGCUUGCUCUUGUGGAUCAGUGGCGAACGGGUGAGUAACACGUGAGCAACCUGCCCCUGACUCUGGGAUAAGCGCUGGAAACGGCGUCUAAUACUGCAUAUGUGAUGUGACCGCAUGGUCUGCAUCUGGAAUGCAUUUCGGUUGGGGAUGGGCUCGCGGCCUAUCAGCUUGUUGGUGAGGUAAUGGCUCACCAAGGCGUCGACGGGUAGCCGGCCUGAGAGGGUGACCGGCCACACUGGGACUGAGACACGGCCCAGACGCCCACGGGAGGCAGCAGUGGGGAAUAUUGCACAAUGGGCGGAAGCCUGAUGCAGCAACGCCGCGUGAGGGAUGACGGCCUUCGGGUUGUAAACCUCUUUUAGCAGGGAAGAAGCGAAAGUGACGGUACCUGCAGAAAAAGCACCGGCUAACUACGUGCCAGCCGCCGCCGUAA
rnacentral:rRNA from 1 species